GAUGAACGCUGGCGGCGUGCUUAACACAUGCAAGUCGAGCGGACAGACGAGCUUCUUGCUGCUCUGACGUUAGCGGCGGAUGGGUGAGGAAUACGUAGAUAACCUAUCUUUAAGACUGGGAUAACGUCGGGAACCCGGAGACAAUACCGGAUAAUAUAUUGAACCGCAUGGUUCAAUAGUGAAAGACGGUUUUGCUGUCACUUAUUGGUGGAUCCGCGCCGCAUUAGCUAGUUGGUAAGGUAACGGCUUACCAAGGCGACGAUGCGUAGCCGACCUGAGAGGGUGAGCGGCCACACUGGAACUGAGACACGGUCCAGACUCCUACGGGAGGCAGCAGUAGGGAAUCUUCCGCAAUGGGCGAAGGCCUGACGCAGCAACGCCGCGUGAGUGAGGAAGGUCUUCGGAUCGUAAAACUCUUUUAUUAGGGAAGAACAAAUGUGUAAGUAACUAUGCGCGUCUUGACGGUACCGGAAGAAAAAGCCCCGGCUAACUACGUG
rnacentral:rRNA from 1 species